UAACUUUUUAGCUUUUGUUUUUCUGGUUGGCGCAGGAUAGCAACAAGGGGUUACUAUGGAAACCAAGCCACUCUCCUCCACCCCAUCCUCUUCUUAGCAUUCUUAGGUUUGUGAGAACUACCAGACUAUGUCAAUGCCGUCAUUCUAUCAUGCCAGGCAGGGCAGGGCUGAUAUCCUCUUUAACUUCCAGGAAACAGGAUUUCCCUCUCUUCCUUUGGCUGAGAGGAACACUUGCUCCCUGCAAAGCAACUGGAAGAGCUUUCUAUUUCUAUCAGUAACACCAGUGUGACAGUGUCACCCCCCCACCCCACGGCGUGCCAGCAGAAGAAGAUGACCGGAUACCUAAUCCAGCAUACGGAAACUCCAGAGAACAGUUGUGAAUGUGUGUGUUCGCCUACAGAACCGGAAUAAAAACACUGGGCAUUUUUA